rnacentral:rRNA from 1 species
AAAUUGAAGAGUUUGAUCAUGGCUCAGAUUGAACGCUGGCGGCAGGCCUAACACAUGCAAGUCGAACGGUAACAGGAAGAAGCUUGCUGCUUUGCUGACGAGUGGCGGACGGGUGAGUAAUGUCUGGGAAACUGCCUGAUGGAGGGGGAUAACUACUGGAAACGGUAGCUAAUACCGCAUAACGUCGCAAGACCAAAGAGGGGGACCUUCGGGCCUCUUGCCAUCGGAUGUGCCCAGAUGGGAUUAGCUUGUUGGUGGGGUAACGGCUCACCAAGGCGACGAUCCCUAGCUGGUCUGAGAGGAUGACCAGCCACACUGGAACUGAGACACGGUCCAGACUCCUACGGGAGGCAGCAGUGGGGAAUAUUGCACAAUGGGCGCAAGCCUGAUGCAGCCAUGCCGCGUGUAUGAAGAAGGCCUUCGGGUUGUAAAGUACUUUCAGCGGGGAGGAAGGGAGUAAAGUUAAUACCUUUGCUCAUUGACGUUACCCGCAGAAGAAGCACCGGCUAACUCCGUGCCAGCAGCCGCGGUAAUACGGAGGGUGCAAGCGUUAAUCGGAAUUACUGGGCGUAAAGCGCACGCAGGCGGUUUGUUAAGUCAGAUGUGAAAUCCCCGGGCUCAACCUGGGAACUGCAUCUGAUACUGGCAAGCUUGAGUCUCGUAGAGGGGGGUAGAAUUCCAGGUGUAGCGGUGAAAUGCGUAGAGAUCUGGAGGAAUACCGGUGGCGAAGGCGGCCCCCUGGACGAAGACUGACGCUCAGGUGCGAAAGCGUGGGGAGCAAACAGGAUUAGAUACCCUGGUAGUCCACGCCGUAAACGAUGUCGACUUGGAGGUUGUGCCCUUGAGGCGUGGCUUCCGGAGCUAACGCGUUAAGUCGACCGCCUGGGGAGUACGGCCGCAAGGUUAAAACUCAAAUGAAUUGACGGGGGCCCGCACAAGCGGUGGAGCAUGUGGUUUAAUUCGAUGCAACGCGAAGAACCUUACCUGGUCUUGACAUCCACAGAACUUUCCAGAGAUGGAUUGGUGCCUUCGGGAACUGUGAGACAGGUGCUGCAUGGCUGUCGUCAGCUCGUGUUGUGAAAUGUUGGGUUAAGUCCCGCAACGAGCGCAACCCUUAUCCUUUGUUGCCAGCGGUCCGGCCGGGAACUCAAAGGAGACUGCCAGUGAUAAACUGGAGGAAGGUGGGGAUGACGUCAAGUCAUCAUGGCCCUUACGACCAGGGCUACACACGUGCUACAAUGGCGCAUACAAAGAGAAGCGACCUCGCGAGAGCAAGCGGACCUCAUAAAGUGCGUCGUAGUCCGGAUUGGAGUCUGCAACUCGACUCCAUGAAGUCGGAAUCGCUAGUAAUCGUGGAUCAGAAUGCCACGGUGAAUACGUUCCCGGGCCUUGUACACACCGCCCGUCACACCAUGGGAGUGGGUUGCAAAAGAAGUAGGUAGCUUAACCUUCGGGAGGGCGCUUACCACUUUGUGAUUCAUGACUGGGGUGAAGUCGUAACAAGGUAACCGUAGGGGAACCUGCGGUUGGAUCACCUCCUUA